rnacentral:rRNA from 1 species
AUUGAACGCUGGCGGCAUGCCUUACACAUGCAAGUCGAACGGCAGCACGGGGCAGCCUGGUGGCGAGUGGCGAGCGGGUGAGUAAUGCAUCGGAACGUACCUUUCAGUGGGGGAUAACGUAGCGAAAGUUACGCUAAUACCGCAUAUUCUGUGAGCAGGAAAGCAGGGGAUCGCGAGACCUUGCGCUGAUUGAGCGGCCGAUGUCAGAUUAGCUAGUUGGUGAGGUAAAGGCUCACCAAGGCGACGAUCUGUAGCGGGUCUGAGAGGAUGAUCCGCCACACUGGAACUGAGACACGGUCCAGACUCCUCCGGGAGGCAGCAGUGGGGAAUUUUGGACAAUGGGGGCAACCCUGAUCCAGCCAUGCCGCGUGAGUGAAGAAGGCCUUCGGGUUGUAAAGCUCUUUCGGCCGGGAAGAAAUCGCACGGGCUAAUACCCUGUGUGGAUGACGGUACCGGAAUAAGAAGCACCGGCUAACUACGUGCCAGCCGCCGCCGUAACAC